AAGACUAUACUCUCAGGGAUCAUUUCUGUAGUUCGUUGCUAGAGACGUUUCUCUGACUGUGUAGAGCACCUGAGACCAUGAGGACUAGACAUAGUGUUCUGUUCUGUGUACGAAGGCGGCCCUAGGAGCUGCUUUUCUGCAGCUGCUUCUUGCCAUUGAUAGUUGUUCUUCUCUCCCUUUGGGGGAGAGAGAGGGGAGAAGGAGAAGGAGAAGGAGAGAAGAGGAAAAGGGAGAGGGAGUUAAUGCAAUCUGAGUAGA
ensembl:snoRNA U3 Small nucleolar RNA U3